rnacentral:rRNA from 1 species
UGGGGAAUAUUGCACAAUGGAGGGAACUCUGAUGCAGCGACGCCGCGUGAACGAAGAAGGCUUUCGAGUCGUAAAGUUCUUUUAUAUGGGAAGAUAAUGACGGUACCAUAAGAAAAAGCCCCGGCUAACUACGUGCCAGCAGCCGCGGUAAUACGUAGGGGGCUAGCGUUGUCCGGAAUCACUGGGCGUAAAGGGUUCGCAGGCGGAAAUGCAAGUCAGGUGUAAAAGGCAGUAGCUUAACUACUGUAAGCAUUUGAAACUGCAUAUCUUGAGAAGAGUAGAGGUAAGUGGAAUUUUUAGUGUAGCGGUGAAAUGCGUAGAUAUUAAAAAGAAUACCGGUGGCGAAGGCGACUUACUGGGCUCAUUCUGACGCUGAGGGACGAAAGCGUGGGUAGCAAACAGG